GCGCAGCAGGCGAGAAUACUCCGCAAUGCGCGCAAGCGUGACGGGGGAACUCCAAGUGCCCCUCAAAAGAGGGGCUUCUGUGAUAUGUAAAAAGUAUCACGAAUAAGGACUGGUCAAGACUAGUGCCAGCCUCCGCGGUAAAACUAGCAGUUCGAGUGGUAGCCACGAUUAUUGGGCUUAAAGCGUUCGUAGCCGGUUUUGUAAGUUCUCUGUAGAAAUCCUUGGGCCUAACCUAAGGGCUUGCAGAGAAUACUGCAAGGCUUGGAGUUGGGAGAA
rnacentral:rRNA from 1 species